rnacentral:rRNA from 1 species
CCUGCCAGUAGUCAUAUGCUUGUCUCAAAGAUUAAGCCAUGCACGUCCAAGUUUAACCUUGAGUGAAACUGCGAAUGGCUCAUUAAUACAGUUGAAAUAUACAUGAUAAGUAAAAUGGAUAACUGUGGUAAUUCUAGAGCUAAUACAUGUAAAUUAACAAAGAAACUCUGCUUUAUCGACAUCGCUUUGCGAUUCGUGAAAAUCUGAGUGUACCAACCUUUCGAGGGGUAUCAUUCUAUCAUCUGACCUAUCAGCUGUCGACGGUAAGGUAGUUGCUUACCGUGGCUAUGACGGGUAACGGGGAAUUAGGGUUUGAUUCCGGAGAGGUAGCCUGAGAAACGGCUACCACAUCUAAGGAUGGCAGCAGGCGCGCAAAUUACCCAAUUUUGAAAAAAAGAGGUAGUGACAAGAAAUAUCGAAACAUUUUUAAUGUCAUCGAAAUGAGAAUGAUUUAAACAAUCAUUCAAGUAACAAUUGGAGGGCAAGUCUGGUGCCAGCAGCCGCGGUAAUUCCAGCUCCAAUAGCGUAUAUUAAAGUUGUUGCGGUUAAAAAGCUCGUAGUUUGAAUCGCAAUGGAAUUUUUUUCCAUUUGAAGAUUUUUAAUCUUUAAUACUUUGAAGAAAUUAGUGUGUUUCAUGCAAGCUUACGCUCUGAAUACAAUAGCAUGGAAUAUGAGUCUUACUGAUUUAUCGAUUGAAACAGUAAAACCAAUGAUAGGGUUGGAUAGCGAUAUUCGAAUUCAAUUGUCAGAGGUGAAAUUCUUGGAUUAAUUGAAGACGAACUACUGCGAAAGCAUUUAUCGAAUACGAACCCAUUAAUCAAGAACGAAAGUUAAGGGAUCGAAGACGAUCAGAUACCGUCCUAGUCUUAACUGUAAACUAUAUCAUCUGAGUAUCAUUCACAUACGAUGUGAAUGGAAUUCUCUGAGAAAUCAAAGUUUUUGGGUUCCGGGGGGAGUAUGGUCGCAAGUCUGAAACUUAAAGGAAUUGACGGAAGGGCACCACCAGGAGUGGAGCCUGCGGCUUAAUUUGACUCAACACGGGAAAUCUCACCAGAAUUCGACAUGAUAAGGAUUGACAGAUUGAAAGUUCUUUCUUGAUUCCAUGGGUGGUGGUGCAUGGCCGUUCUUAGUUGGUGGAGUAAUUUGUCUGGUUAAUUCCGAUAACGAGCGAGAUCUUAGCCUGCUAAAUAGAUCUGAUUCAAUAGAUUCAGAAUCUUCUUAGAGGAACUAGGCAUUCAAGUGCCUGGAAGUGAAAGGCAAUAACAGGUCUGUGAUGCCCUUAGAUAUUCUGGGCUGCACGCGCGCUACAAUGACUAAUUCAACGAGUAUUUCACCUUGAUCGAAAGGUCUGGGUAAUCUUCCAAAAUUAGUCGUGCUGGGGAU